GGAAACGAGUUAUCUGAACCUUCGGGGAACGAUAACGGCGUCGAGCGGCGGACGGGUGAGUAAUGCCUAGGAAAUUGCCCUGAUGUGGGGGAUAACCAUUGGAAACGAUGGCUAAUACCGCAUGAUGCCUACGGGCCAAAGAGGGGGACCUUCGGGCCUCUCGCGUCAGGAUAUGCCUAGGUGGGAUUAGCUAGUUGGUGAGGUAAGGGCUCACCAAGGCGACGAUCCCUAGCUGGUCUGAGAGGAUGAUCAGCCACACUGGAACUGAGACACGGUCCAGACUCCUACGGGAGGCAGCAGUGGGGAAUAUUGCACAAUGGGCGCAAGCCUGAUGCAGCCAUGCCGCGUGUGUGAAGAAGGCCUUCGGGUUGUAAAGCACUUUCAGUCGUGAGGAAGGUAGUGUAGUUAAUAGCUGCAUUAUUUGACGUUAGCGACAGAAGAAGCACCGGCUAACUCCGUGCCAGCAGCCGCGGUAAUACGGAGGGUGCGAGCGUUAAUCGGAAUUACUGGGCGUAAAGCGCAUGCAGGUGGUUUGUUAAGUCAGAUGUGAAAGCCCGGGGCUCAACCUCGGAAUAGCAUUUGAAACUGGCAGACUAGAGUACUGUAGAGGGGGGUAGAAUUUCAGGUGUAGCGGUGAAAUGCGUAGAGAUCUGAAGGAAUACCGGUGGCGAAGGCGGCCCCCUGGACAGAUACUGACACUCAGAUGCGAAAGCGUGGGGAGCAAACAGGAUUAGAUACCCUGGUAGUCCACGCCGUAAACGAUGUCUACUUGGAGGUUGUGGCCUUGAGCCGUGGCUUUCGGAGCUAACGCGUUAAGUAGACCGCCUGGGGAGUACGGUCGCAAGAUUAAAACUCAAAUGAAUUGACGGGGGCCCGCACAAGCGGUGGAGCAUGUGGUUUAAUUCGAUGCAACGCGAAGAACCUUACCUACUCUUGACAUCCAGAGAACUUUCCAGAGAUGGAUUGGUGCCUUCGGGAACUCUGAGACAGGUGCUGCAUGGCUGUCGUCAGCUCGUGUUGUGAAAUGUUGGGUUAAGUCCCGCAACGAGCGCAACCCUUAUCCUUGUUUGCCAGCGAGUAAUGUCGGGAACUCCAGGGAGACUGCCGGUGAUAAACCGGAGGAAGGUGGGGACGACGUCAAGUCAUCAUGGCCCUUACGAGUAGGGCUACACACGUGCUACAAUGGCGCAUACAGAGGGCGGCCAACUUGCGAAAGUGAGCGAAUCCCAAAAAGUGCGUCGUAGUCCGGAUUGGAGUCUGCAACUCGACUCCAUGAAGUCGGAAUCGCUAGUAAUCGUGGAUCAGAAUGCCACGGUGAAUACGUACCCCAAGG
rnacentral:rRNA from 1 species